rnacentral:rRNA from 1 species
GGCUAACGCUGGCGGCGUGUCUUAGCCAUGCAAGUCGAGCGGACUUAUGGGGUAACUUAUAAGUCAGCGGCGGACGGCGGAGUAACACGUAGCUAACCUACCCUCUGGACGGGGAUAACCUACCGAAAGGUGGGCUAAUACCCGAUGUAGUCAUCCUGUAUAGGGGUGAUGAAAGGUGGGCUUCUGUUUACAAGCUCAUGCUGGAGGAGGGGGCUGCGGCCUAUCAGGUAGUUGGUAGGGUAAUAGCCUACCAAGCCGAUGACGGGUAGCCGGCCUGAGAGGGUGACCGGCCCGAGGGGCACUGAGAUACGGGUCCCACUCCUACGGGAGGCAGCAGGCUAGAAAUUUGGGCAAUGGGGGAAACCCUGACCCAGUGACGCCGCGUGCAAGAAGGAGCCCUUCGGGGUGUAAACUGCUGUCGUGUAGGGAGAAGGGUACUAAGGUGAACAAUCUUAGUACUUGACGGUACUACAGGAGGAAGCCCAGGCUAACCUCGUG